AAGGUGUCCCUGCCCAUGGCAGGGGGUGGGAAUAGAGCCAGACUGUACUUCCACAGGACCUGCUCCUCUGGCCAGCUCAGCCUUUCCUGACAUCAGCUGUGCAGAUCUCCAUCCGCAGAGAUAACUCACAGGACACACAGCACAGGCUGCAGAUAUUCAGCCCUAGCCCGUGCCUGGCUCCUUGGUCACCAUCCCACAGACAGCAGUGAGGGGUGAGGAGGCCUCGGGCUGUGCUUCUACCCUGGGGGCUGGGAAAAGCUUAGGGUAAAUACUGGAUACAACUGUUGCUUAAGGAAAGCUUUAAAAUUUGACUACUCUUGUGCUCAGUAACAAUGUGACUGCUUUUUUUUUGCAAAGCCUACAAUGUCCAGGACAGAAAUUGGUUCAUUUUAAAGAUGGAGGAUUUCUAUAGUGUUUAUUUGACUUGGCUUGGCAGCAGUGUUCUGUUUACGACUGGAUAAAUAACUGCCACAUUAAAGAUUAUUAACUAGCAAUGCUUCAGUGACCAAUAAAGUACUAAUCUUUUAUAUGGUGUUGUAAAUGUA